UACGUAGGGGGCGAGCGUUGUCCGGAAUCAUUGGGCGUAAAGAGCUCGUAGGCGGCUUGUCGCGUCGUCCGUGAAAACCCACAGCUCAACUGUGGGCUUGCGGUCGAUACGGGCAGGCUGGAGUUCGGUAGGGGAGACUGGAAUUCCUGGUGUAGCGGUGAAAUGCGCAGAUAUCAGGAGGAACACCGGUGGCGAAGGCGGGUCUCUGGGCCGAUACUGACGCUGAGGAGCGAAAGCGUGGGGAGCGAACAGG
rnacentral:rRNA from 1 species